rnacentral:tRNA from 1 species
GCCAUUAUAGCUCAGUUGGUAGAGCAUUCCCAUGGUAAGGGAAAGGUCGUGGGUUCAAUUCCCGCUAAUGGCUCCA